AUUGAACGCUGGCGGCAUGCUUUACACAUGCAAGUCGAACGGUAACAGGUUAAGCUGACGAGUGGCGAACGGGUGAGUAAUGCAUCGGAACGUGCCCGAUCGUGGGGGAUAACGCAGCGAAAGCUGCGCUAAUACCGCAUACGAUCUGAGGAUGAAAGCGGGGGACCGUAAGGCCUCGCGCGAUCGGAGCGGCCGAUGUCAGAUUAGGUAGUUGGUGGGGUAAAGGCCCACCAAGACGACGAUCUGUAGCUGGUCUGAGAGGACGACCAGCCCCACGGGGACUGAGACACGGCCCAGACUCCUACGGGAGGCAGCAGUGGGGAAUUUUGGACAAUGGGCGAAAGCCUGAUCCAGCAAUGCCGCGUGCAGGAAGAAGGCCUUCGGGUUGUAAACUGCUUUUGUACGGAGCGAAAAGGUCCUUUCUAAUACAAGGGGCUCAUGACGGUACCGUAAGAAUAAGCACCGGCUAACUACGUGCCAGCCGCCGCAGUAAGAC
rnacentral:rRNA from 1 species